GGCCGGAAGGGUGGCGGGAAGGUGCGUCCGCCGUGUGAGGGGAAGAGGUGACGUCAUGCUGCUGAUGGUGACGUCAUGCUGCUGGCGGUUACGUCACGGUGUUCCUGCUGAAGAGAAAAUGACUUGCAGAGACUGGAAUAAACAACAUUGAAAGCAACAUGGCAUCUGCUUGAGGACCUUGAAAUAACUGCUUCUGCCAGGUAAUGAAGUAGAUUAAAGGCUUCUGUGUCCAGUUUUGAAAGUCUGCAAGGGGUGUAACCCUUUGCUGGGGGUAAGGCUUGCACAGUUACCUUGACAGUAACAUU